CUAAUUUAAAAUUAUACUAUAGUCAACCUGUUUCGAGCGAUUGAACUUAAAUGUAUGUUAAUAGAUACCUAAUUUAUGUGGGCUUGAUAUCUAUCAAGAUAAAUUCUGUGGUCAUUUAGUUUACCACAUUACAUUGGGGAUUGUGUCAAUGUAAUGUGAGGGGGAAAUAUGUAGCGCGGCAAUUGUAUUUACGCGCCGAAUUGAUUCCAGAUGCCAGCACAUUCGUGUCCUCCCACUUAGUAUAAAUUUUAGUAGCUUCGCGAAGGGAAAAGUCUUGCUCUUCCCAUUUGCCUGUAGGCAUUGAAUACGGAAGCAGCAGGUAUUUGGGCCAUUUUCCCGUGGUCAACACAGGAUUAUUUUAAGCGGAUUGGAUUUUAUUAGAAAAAUAUAGCACGGAAAGGCACGAGGUGUUACAUCUUGGAAUCUACUUGGUUACCGCUGACUUAGAACUAUCAUGUCUACACAUGAAUAGUCACCACGAAACUUCAGGAGACACAUCCAUUGUGGGAUCGCCUUACGCUGGUGACUGCGAGGUUGUUCGGGAAGCGUUUAUCAGGAGAGGGAUCCCGGUGUAAUCAGUCGACAUCUCAAUAGCAUCGUUAUCAAAUUCAUCGUUACGCCAGUAUGAUUGUAGGUUAAAAAGAUGGUGGCUCUUUUACUCUGCCAAAAAAUUUGACCCGUUUAACGGCUCCGAAAAAAAUGUUUUAUUAUUUCUCAUUGAAAAAUUCAAAAAAGGCGCCUCAUAUAGUUUUUUAAACUACUAUAGAUCCGCGAUUUCACUAAUUUUAGGACCCGAGUUGGGGAAAAACGAUAAUAUUCAACGCUUCUUUAAGGGCAUAGUUAAACUGAGACCGGCAGCAACCAGAUACGAUUCAACCUGGGAUCCCAAGAUUAGUUUGAGAUAUUUAUCGACGUUUUAUUUAAACGAAAAGAUUACUUUGCAAAACUUAACUCUAAAACUGGUGACCUUGCUGGCAAUAUCCACGGGACAUCGAAUGCAGUCUCUGUCUCUUAUUAAUACGAGAAAUAUUUACCGGACAACCGAUAAUGUAUUGGAAAUAAAAAUUCCCAAUAUGAUUAAAAUGUCAGGUCCCGGGACAAAACAGCCGGUUCUAAGGUUACCGUGCUUUACUCAGGAAAAACCGGUCUCUGUGGCUUCAGUGUUACUAAGUUAUUAAGAGAAAACUAAAGAAUUGCGAGGAUCAAAAGUUAAACUGUUUAUUUCUUUUAAGAAACCAUAUAGAGGAGUUGGAAUACAGACUUUGAGUCGAUGGAUAAAGUUAGUUAUGUCUAAAAGUGGCAUUGAUACAAACGUUUUUUCGGCAUAUAGCACUCGACAUGCGGCGACGUCGGCAGCAAACGUUAGGGCGUCAAUAUUGACGUAAUUCGAAAAAGUGCCGGGUGGUUAAAAGACUCAAAGACAUUUGCUCGAUUUUAUGAUCGUUGUGUUUCAACGGAAAACGUGCAACGUCUUAAGGUGGAUCCUGGAUCUUUAUGGUUAAGCCUAUUUUUAUAAUUUUUAGUAAAAAGAAAUAAAACGGCUUAUCAUAAAUAUAUCCGCCGUAACUAUUGGUUCGGCAUGAAAGUAAUGAGACACUCUAGAAAA